UCUAGCUUUCUGUUCUUCCUUUAGUUUUUCGAUGCAUUCUUCCAGCUCCAACUAUCAAAACAGGUGAAAUGAAAUUUAUCACAAAAUGUCAGACUAACAUGCAAUAAAAAACAACUAGCAAACAGCAUUCCAAAUUCAUUCUUCAAAAAUACAAGACAGAGGUCUACCAGUACAUAACUCUAGGAUGCAAAAUAUUAAGACAGAGUAGAAGUAAGUGUGAUUCACUUAACAGAUUUGUAGGAUUGCAAUAGAUCACAUGAAAUUACAGCCCAAAUCUCUUUAUCCUAUGACAUAACCAUCAAGAAUGUAUGCUCUUUUCUAUUUCCCCUUCACUUUUUCAAGCAUCAUUUUUAACUAAAUAUAUUAUCAAAAGCUCAAAUGGGGCUCUAAUAAGAAAUCUGUAACACCCAUAUCUAGUUUUCCAACUAUAACUCUUUAUCCAGGAUUUUAUUCCUUCUUACAGCUGUACGAAUACAAAAUUCUGAAGAACUGUAGUCUCAAAAGUAAGAAUACAAAACUCUGAAGGCAUCCACCCACUAAAAACAAAACCAUUAUGUGAGAGAAACAGUACCUGAAUCUCCAAUGGCAGUUCUCCAGCACAUUCCACUGCCCCACCUCUGAAGUUAGGGGAAAAAAGAACAAAACCAUACUUCUGAGAAAAGAUUUACAGAUUUUUUAGAUGAUGAUCCUGUAUUGAAGAGCAAGAUCAGAAGAAAAGAGAAUUCAUUAUACCUUAUUAUUCACAUACAAAUUCACAGCUUCCUGUUCAUAAAAUUUCCAAUGUAAUAAAAAGGACUGUAGGAAAUCUGC